CCCUUAGAUGUUCUGGGCCGCACGCGUGCUACACUGACCGGCGCAACAAGUUUCUUUCCUUGGCUCGAUAGGCCUGGGUAAUCUUUGAACGCUGGUCGUGAUGGGGAUAGACUUUUGCAAUUUUUGGUCUUCAACGAGGAAUUCCUAGUAAACGCAAGUCAUCAACUUGCAUUGAUUACGUCCCUGCCCUUUGUACACACCGCCCGUCGCACCUACCGAUUGAAUGGUCCGGUGAAGCCUCCGGAUUGGCGCGCACCUCGGUGCCGCCGAGAAGUUGGCUAAACCUUACCAUUUAGAGGAAGGUGAAGUCGUAACA
rnacentral:rRNA from 1 species